GCGGGGGUUGCCGUUGUUGACUCGCUGGUUGUCGCUGUUGUUCGUUAUUAUUACAGCGUUGAUUAGCUGUCGGUUGUUGUUGAAGUGUUGUUUGUGGUACGGUUAAAGGGUUAUAAGGGAAUAGGGAAAUGGGAUUUUGGUCCGGGUUUGUGGCUUGUUUGGCUGAGGGUGGUGUUUGGCUGAUGUUGAGAGUGUUAUGGGCUGCCGG
rnacentral:lncRNA from 1 species